GAUGAAGAACGUAGCAAAAUGCGAUACGUAAUGUGAAUUGCAAAUUCAGUGAAUCAUCGAGUCUUUGAACGCACAUUGCGCCCCCUGGUAUUCCGGGGGGCAUGCCUGUCCGAGCGUCAUUGCUGCCCUCAAGCACGGCUUGUGUGUUGGGCCCCGUCCUCCGAUCCCGGGGGACGGGCCCGAAAGGCAGCGGCGGCACCGCGUCCGGUCCUCGAGCGUAUGGGGCUUUGUCACCCGCUCUGUAGGCCCGGCCGGCGCUUGCCGAUCAACCCAAAUUUUUAUCCAGGUUGACCUCGGAUCAGGUAGGGAUACCCGCUGAACUUAAGCAUAUCAAUAAGCGGAGGA
rnacentral:misc_RNA from 1 species